CGGAGGAUCCAAGCGUUAUCCGGAAUCAUUGGGUUUAAAGGGUCCGUAGGCGGUUUUGUAAGUCAGUGGUGAAAGCCCAUCGCUCAACGGUGGAACGGCCAUUGAUACUGCAAGACUUGAAUUAUUGGGAAGUAACUAGAAUAUGUAGUGUAGCGGUGAAAUGCUUAGAGAUUACAUGGAAUACCAAUUGCGAAGGCAGGUUACUACCAAUAUAUUGACGCCGAUGGACGUAAGCGUGGGGAGCGAACAGGAUUAGAUACCCUGGUAGUCCACGCCGUAAACGAUGGAUACUAGCUGUUCGGAGCAAUCUGAGUGGCUAAGCGAAAGUGAUAAGUAUCCCACCUGGGGAGUACGUUCGCAAGAAUG
rnacentral:rRNA from 1 species